ensembl:lncRNA
CUGGGACCAGAGCCCAGGACGCCGGGAACAGGGGUCACCGCCAUCCCCCAGUGCCCCCACCCCCACCCCCGAGUCCUGGUGUACACACAGAUCCAGACACCGGGACACAACAAGACCAAACAGACCUGGAGACCCUGGAGAAAAACAAAAACAAAAACCAAAACCAAAACCAAAAAGGCCUUCGAGCCCUGUUCCUGGGACUUCCCCCUCGCCUCAUCUCGGUUUCACAUCUGUAAACGUGGGGACCUUCAUACGCAGACCUUAGGGCAAUGUCGCUGUGGUGACGAUGAAGGGAUUCUGAAGACCUGGAGAUUGAAGCGCUGAUCACCGACACACCAAUCCAAACGGAGUCAUUCCGCAUCGAUUGAACAUUUACCACAGCACUCACAUGGUGGCUCACAACGAUCUGCAACUUCCGUUCCAG